GAAAAGUUUCUGGCUCUGGAGUCUGGCCCCAGCUGUGCCACUGACUCACUCGCUGUGAGUGAGAGCCUUGGGCAGGCCUCAGCCCUGUUUCCCUUCAGCGUUUGCACAUGGACAACGGGGAAGCCCCCUGCUCUGCCUGCCUCAGGAGCACGGGGACAAGUAAAGGUGCUGACUCCUGGUUUCAAAGAGUCUGCCAUUAUCAGCAGGAGCAAGCACUUUCCAAGCAUCUCCAGGGGCAGGGACUUGGGCUAAGCCCUGGGAAUACGGAAGAACAUCAGACUGCCUCCAGACAUAGUCUCGUCCUCGGACUGGAAGGAAUACAGACAGGGAAGAAGGGAGACAAGGAGAAAGACCUUCUUUGGUGUACCGCUUUACAAUUUAUCAUGUGUUUUCACUUUUUCAGUUACUCUUUAAAAUUUGUUUACAGGGGAUGGGAUGGAAUCUCAGAGAAGCCAAGCACUUUGUCUGAGGUCACAAAGCCUAGGAAGACCAGGCCUCAGGGUAACCUGAUUUUAAAUUCAAGGUUCCUAUGCAGUUGUAAGAUACAGCACACAGAGAGAAGAAGUACCCUUUAUCCAAGUUUUCCCAGUGGUGGCAUCUUGCAAAACUAUAGCCCAUAGUCACAGCCAGGGUGUGGACAUCAGUAUGGCCAAGGUUAUCCGAGCAAAAUCAGACCAUGUAACCUUUGGCUUUUUUCGCUCACGCGAGUUUUCUGGGAGUUCAUCUGGGCUGUUGAAUGGGUCAAGACUUCAUUCCUUUUUGCUGCUGAGGGGUUUUCUGUGGUAUGGACAUAUGCUGAACCCGUGGGAGGACAUCUGGGCCCAUUCUGGCUUUUGGCUCUUAUGAAUAAAGCUGCUGCAAACA